CUGUUAUUGCAGAGCCAGCGG
rnacentral:misc_RNA from 1 species